CCAUCUCAGUUGAAUUUUCGGAAAAUAAAUAAUUAUUUAAUUUAAUUCCGAAAAAUAAUAUUAAAAUACCAAAAAUCUCACUUAUGCCCGAAUUGCCUAAUUAACACCCGAUAAGGGUCGGGAAAAAUCCCACGAAGCAUCCAAUAAAUACUACAUGCAAUUCUCUAUCUAAUUACACUAAUCACAUCACUAAUAUACAAAGCAAUUAACUAAUAAUCACUAAUCAAUUCUAAUCUAACAACCUAAUUACACUUAAUUAACACUAAUCAACAUUUAAGUAUAAUUAGCAAACUAAGAAGGCAUUAGUGAGUAAAACUCACUUGAUAAACGCGAAGACCGGAUCACCGCACGGUGACGCGACGGCGGCCGAAUUCCAAAAUUUCGGCGACGUCGAUGCACCCUCGCGCCGGGCCAAGAAACUUUGCAAGCCCGCAGAAAUUCUGGGCUUCGAUCGAACUUGGGUCGAUUAACUUCGCAGGCUGAGUUGCUGAAACUUCUUGGGCUUCAAAACUGGGCCUGAGCUUUCACAGAAAUGGGCUGCCGAACAAGAAAGCUUCAUGGGCUGAACAAACAAACUGGACUGGCUGUCUUCGUGAAUGGGCUGUUCCCGGCCUGGGCUUCUUGUUGACUCACGGGCUGAAGGAACGCUUUACGCGAGAGACACGGACGAACGGUGCUACUUCAUUUAUGGACUGGCGCGGCAGAGACGGGGAAGCAGCUGCUGGCGAUGAAGACACGUGCGGCUCCGUGGAUUGAAGAAGCUGGAGAAGUGCGGAGAUGCGCACCAAGAGGAGUCAACCUCAGUGGUCGCACGGGUUGAUUUGCUGACCGACUUCACGAGCGGACAACACGGGCAGCUCAACCAAAAACUGAAGACGCAUGGAGAUUUCUUCGGUGAAUAGUGUUGUUGGCGUCUGAUCCGUGCGUGGGCUGUUGCGGUCAACUAAGGGGUUCUUGUGAGUGCAGCUGUUGACUGAAGGAGCUGGCUUCGGAGGAGGACUUCGAGCGUUGAAGAUGGAAGCAGCUUCGUCUGAGUUGCGACAGACGCACGGCAGCUAGCACACGGUCUUCCUCUUCGCUGAACGUUGACUGGAGAUGAGGAGGAACGGACGAGUGGCGCGGCUGCUUCGUGGGAUGUGGGCUGAGCGAAUCAGUGAGGGCUUCGCUCGGUGGCUUUGCCGGGUCAACCAAGUGGUGUCGCUUGAAGACUUCUACUGAAGAUUGACUGUGGGAAACCAAGCAUAGUGGAGCAGGUUGGUGCGCAGAGGAGAACUCGGUGGGUCGGCUGAAUGGGGAAUUCGGUGGUGUUGAGUGCGUCUAAAAGAAACAGCAAGGUGGUAGAGGGAUAGAGGAGAGAGGACGGAGCUGUUUCGGUCUGGAUCGACGGAAAGGAAAGAGAAUAGAGGAGUAGAAAUAGAAGAGAUAAGAAUGAGAGAGGUGCCGUGGAGAUGAAGUCGGCGAGACUUGCUGGAGAAGCCGAAUGAGAGGGAGUCAAGUCAAAACAAAAUAUCUCAUUCAUGAUUAACAAACCAUAAAAGUCUUUAGCCCAACCAAUGGAGAAUUUGCUCCAAUUUCACCCCAAAUUAAAUCAUUUU
rnacentral:lncRNA from 1 species